UCGGGAAUUUUGGGCAAUGGGCGAAAGCCUGACCCAGCAACGCCGCGUGAAGGAUGAAGUAUUUCGGUAUGUAAACUUCGAAAGAAUAGGAAGAAUAAAUGACGGUACUAUUUAUAAGGUCCGGCUAACUACGUGCCAGCAGCCGCGGUAAUACGUAGGGACCAAGCGUUGUUCGGAUUUACUGGGCGUAAAGGGCGCGUAGGCGGCAUGACAAGUCACUUGUGAAAUCUCUGGGCUUAACCCAGAACGGCCAAGUGAUACUGUCGCGCUAGAGUGCAGAAGGGGCAAUCGGAAUUCUUGGUGUAGCGGUGAAAUGCGUAGAUAUCAAGAGGAACACCUGAGGUGAAGACGGGUUGCUGGGCUGACACUGACGCUGAGGCUCGAAAGCGUGGGGAGCAAACAGGAUUAGAUACCCCCGUAGUCCCUGAGCGGGCUGGCAAGGCGCAU
rnacentral:rRNA from 1 species